AAAUGUAUAUGACGUGUGCUAAUCUUACUUUCCAAAUUAAAAAGGGAAGAUGGAUGAAUAUUUUUAAAGGAAGACAUGAUGUGUAAUCUUUGAACACAAAAUGUUGGCGAUAAACACGUUAUGUGUUACUUUAGAAAUUCUCACUUUUUAGGGAAUAUCUCUGCUGUCUUUUAUGCAUAUUUUUUUUGUAUGUAUUUACCACGUGUACACGUUUGUGUCUAAAGCAAAUUAAGUAAUUUGAUUAUACAAGCAUAUAAUACCUCUAGAGUUUGUCAGUUUU
rnacentral:lncRNA from 1 species